GCUCAAAAUAUCAACCCUUUUCCGAAUAAUUAUCUUUCCUAAAAGAUUUAGUGGUUACUUCGCUUUUUGAGCAUACCAAUUGGGAUAUUAUCUGUAGCAACGGUUCCUUUUCCAAACUCAGGUAAAAUAACAGAGGCAAUCAAAGGGGCGUCCAUUAUCAACAAUUGCUAUCAGGCUUCAGAGUAAAAAUUCAAAUCAAACAUGAGAAGUGUGCUUCAAUGGUUUCGAAUACUUAUAUCUAAUGGGUUUCUUGUUGCAUAAGUCCGUUUCGACGACGAACAUAUUAACGAACUGAAAGGUUACAUACGUAAUUUAAAAAAAAGUAUAAAAUUGAAUUUAUCUAUAGCAGAUGUAAAAGUUAUAUAAUUUGAUUAAGUUUUUAAAUGAGGAAGUUGCAAUAUUAUCUGAUUCCAAAGGUUUUCUGUAGCUGCAAAAGUUAAGCAGUAAUGCUUUGCUAACAAUUGCCAUUCUUCCAACUCAUCAAGCAUUUCUAUGCUCAUCGUUCUUUUCUUUUCUUCUAUGGGUAUCCAGGUUUCUUCAAUAGUUAAAAAAUCUUCUGCAAUUACUUCCGAGUAUCCAUAAUCAAGAAACCUCAUCCUUUGCUGCUCAGUUGUCUCAUAACAAUCGAGUGUUUUAAGAAUCACUCCUCUUGCCUAAAUUUUGUUAGUUCUUAAUCUGUGAAAUGAUAUGCAAGCAUCGUACAGAAAGAUUAGCCUUCAUCAUUUUUCCAAAGUUAUCCAUCCCCUGAAUAGGUUCAUAAACAACAAUGCCAGAAGUUGCAAACAUAUUUUGAAACCACCGGCAUAAUGAACUAGCUUCUUCAGGUUCCAAAUAACACAAACAACAUUCUGACAGAACAAUAGUCGGCAAAGAAAAAUCUACAAACCCAGGAAAUCCUUUAUGGACUAUUUCUCGAAUAUCGUAAGAAUAUAUGUCCAAAGAGCCAGAAACUAAAGACCCUCCAGAAAUGUCUUUUAUGGUCAGCAAAUUAAUAAUUUGUAAGUCAACUUUUCUAAAAUUAGCUCACCCACAACAUAAUCCCCGAUGUUUUGCUUUAACGCUUCAUGCUUCUCAAUUGUUCGAAUUUUCCGUAUACAAUUUGGGUAAAAAUCGAAUUCAAUAAAUUUUAAAUUUUCAGGUCCGUAUUCAGACUUACUGUAGUUAGUAAAGACUGCAUUUAUCUUUUGUUUUAGCAUAAGCAUACAAUAUAUCGAAAUACUCGAGUAUCAGUACCGGCUCCUAGUGAAAUAAUUUGUUUUUUACCAUCAAAAGAUUCUAUGAAUUUUUGAAGAAUGUGGUCUAUAGACCAUGUUCUAACAUAGGUUCCUCGAUUUAUGAUAGGAGGUUUAUGCGAAUUUCGACUAGGACUAAAGAAUUUUAUAAAAGGAUCAUGAAUAUAUCCGCUUUUUGUAGCACUCGAUCUGCAUUUCAAAGCAUCCAAAUCUGUUUCAGUAAUGUCCAUUUUAAGAAUGCUUAAUUCGUAACUUGUUUGGGUAUAGUCAAUUAAUUUUAAUAAGAGAAACGAUUUUUUUUGUCAGUUUAUUUAUAUUCAAAAAAAUAAGACUGAUUGAUAAUAGGCAAGAGAGCAAGAGGUGACGUUUUAAGGAAAGCGUGCACCACCUCAAGAGAACGGACAUUCUGAAGCUAAACAUCUUUUUAUAAAUUGAAUAAUACCGACAGCAGCAUAAAACAUCUAGACAAAAUAAUGCUUCCCGUUAGACGAAUCUAUCAAUCUACAGCUCACGAUAUAUUUUACUAGACGUUGCACCACAAUGAUCCAACAAGUCCGAAAUAAUCAUUUUUAUUGAAAUGUUUGUAUAAACACCCUAUGUAUAAACCGUGAAAAGCAAAAGCUUCUCAUACAUUACCACUUUUUAAUGCUUGAAUAAAUUUUUGAAAAAAUUGUUUGAAUGAUCUACUAUCCAGAUUUGAUAAAGCUUGUAAAUAUUCAGAAGCCAUUACGUCCGGAAAGUUGACGGUGGGAAAAUACACCGUUACAAGAUAUGACUUGUAUAUAUCACCUAGCUUUUCAAGUAUUAUUUUUUGUAAUCCAGCCAGUUCCCCUAAAACUACCAAAGACUGACCAUCACGGGUGUUAAAAUUUGGGUUAACAGGCAUUUCAAAACAUAAUGGUGUCAAUGAUAAAGUAAAAUUUUCGAAUCCAGCAAUUCCAUCCUUACCUCCCCAUAAGGAAACCAUUUUAGAAACUAAAGCGAUAGAACUUUUUUGUGUAGCUGGCUCACCC